GGAACACGUGAGGGCCCCAGUGGCAAGCCACUGUGGUGGACCCUCCCCACAAAAAAUAAAUUUAAUAUCGUUGUGGACACAUGGCCCACAUAUCAGAUAUUAAACUGA
rnacentral:rRNA from 1 species